CCUACGGGCGGCAGCAGUGAGGAAUAUUGGUCAAUGGACGAGAGUCUGAACCAGCCAAGUAGCGUGAAGGCUGACUGCCCUAUGGGUUGUAAACUUCUUUUAUAUGGGAAUAAAGUGUUCCACGUGUGGGAUUUUGUAUGUACCAUAUGAAUAAGGAUCGGCUAACUCCGUGCCAGCCGCCGCGGUAAUACGGAGGAUCCGAGCGUUAUCCGGAUUUAUUGGGUUUAAAGGGAGCGUAGGUGGAUUGUUAAGUCAGUUGUGAAAGUUUGCGGCUCAACCGUAAAAUUGCAGUUGAAACUGGCAGUCUGUAGUACAGUAGAGGUGGGCGGAAUUCGUGGUGUAGCGGGGAAAUGCUUAGAUAUCACGAAGAACUCCGAUUGCGAAGGCAGUUCACUGGACUUCAACUGACACUGAGGCUCGAAAGUGUGGGUAUCAAACAGGAGUAGAUACCCGAGUAGUC
rnacentral:rRNA from 1 species